rnacentral:lncRNA from 1 species
AACAAUCACGGUCCUUUGUAUUCAUCCAAAGGAGUCGAAGAUGUAUAUUUAUGCGAAACCCACACACGGGUGUUUCUUGUCGGAGACCACUGCACAGCUGAACCAUGCGGAAGGCAAGCACCUGCUGACUCUGAGUUCUAAAGUGCAGGGUCUGCUGCAAAGACGUGAUGCAUAAACUGCUAGCCUGUGAGCAGCUGCACUAUGUGCAGCUAGAGGUGUGCACCAGUGCUAAGAGUGUGGUCGUGAUUCACAAAGAGGUGGCUUCGUCAUCGCCUGUGCUGGCUCCUGCCCACGAUUCUACAUUUGGCACCUUCCUUAGUAAAAGUCGUGUGGACUAAAGCCUCGGCGCCUUUGUUCUGCAGCACAGAGUGCCUCCCGGUCCCCCACUUUCUAAACCUAAGUCUUGUGUGUUCUGUUACACUGCGCAGUCCCUCCUCCAGGAUUCCCCGUUGCCCUGCAGCGCUGGACAGGCAGUUUCUAUCUAUUGGCUUUAAAUGCAAAAAGGCUGAAACGUGGAGGCAGCCAAGAUAUCCUUCAGCAGGUGAAUGGAUAGAACAACUGUGGUCCAUCCAGGCAACGGGCUGUUAUUCUGUGCUAAAAGGACAUGAGCUAUCCAGCCAUCAGAAGUCAUUGGAGGAACCUUAAAUGCAUAUCGCUAAGUGAAAGGCUAAGAACUGCAUGAUUCCAACUAUACCAUCUUCUGGAAAAGGCAAAACGGGGGAGGCAGUAAAAAGAUCUGUUGUGGUCAGGGGUUGGGGGAAGGGAGGGAACAGGCAGAGCACUGAGGAUUUUUAGGGCAGGGAAACUAGUCUGAAAAGACACUUCACUGGCAGAUACGUAUCAUAUAUAUCUUGGUCCAAACCUAUAGAAUGUAUAAUAAGCGUGAAUGUUCAUCUAAUCUCCAGGCUUUGGGUAAUAAUAACAUGGAUGCAGGUUAGACUGUAACAAAUGUGCCCCUCCGUGGGGGGGAGGGAUGUUGCUAAUGGGUGGAGGCUGUAAGGAGCAGAGAUGGGGGCACAGGGGAAUUCUCUUUAUGUCUUGCUCACUUUUGCUGUAAACCUAAAACUGCUCUAAAAAGAGUUGAUUUUAAAAUCUGUGUUCACUCUAGCCUGGGAACCUCCAUAUGCCGUGGGUGUGGCCCUAAAAAGACAAAAUAAAUAAAUGAAUAAAUAAAAUGUAUGUUCGGUAUGUAGGUUAGACCGUUCUUUUGUUUGUUGCCUGGUUUUUGUGUCUCUUCUACGUCUGUGUAUUGAGAGGGCCUGGAAGCAGCAACACCUCACGAGCAAUGAGCACACCCAACACCCACAUCUUGGCUUCUAAACACCAUUUCCACUAAAAGGAACCAGGGACCCUUGCAGAGACGGCUGAUUCCCAGGCUGAGGCAGAGAAAGACACAAAAGAAAUGUCAAAAGGACAUAGAAGCCAGCUUGAGAAAGCUCCUCCUGGCCAAACCGGAGACAAUUUGAGCAUCAAAAUCAUGAGAGUAAGAUGUUGCUAUAACCCAUCAAAUAAAAUAGGAAGCUGGACCACCCCUGAUGUGACCUCACAAUCCCCAGAGGGUCCGAGGGGCUGCUGCUCUUCUGUCUCAGUUACCCCAAGGCAACAUGAAAGAGACGAACCAAAAAAGUCAAAGGCUCUCCCACAGUCCACUCCCCAUCUACUUGCGGUGACUUCAAAAUAGAUCCACAAAUGGCGAUACUCUCAUCCAUCAAAGGUGGAUGUCACCCUUCCCCUACUCUGCCCCCGAAUCUUGGCUAGACUUCAAGAACUUGCUAAUAAUUGACAGAAGGGAUGGUGCCCGACUCUUGUGUGCCUCUGCUUUGCCCAUGAAAUAUGUUGAGACCUGAGCUGCUAUGUAAGGAAUUUGAUUACUGUGGGGCUGCCAUGUCAGGAAGAAGCUCAAGCUCUAGGAGGAGGCCACAUCCAGGCACUGGAGUCGGCAAUUCUAACCCUUUAGUCACUGGAGUCGGCAGUUCUAACCUCUGAGUCAGUGGAGUCCAGCCACCUAGGUUACACGUGGCCAACUCGCCUGCCAGCUGAAUACCUGAGUGACCCGCAAGGAGCCAGAGAGUCUUCAGCUGAACCGUGCUGGAGCUCUGGACCCCCAGCAUCUGUGGGUCAUAAUAAAACAGUAGUUUCAAGCCACUGAGUUUGGGGCCAUUCGUUACAGGGAAACAGGAAGCAGCACACUAUGGCAGAGCACCUCUUUGUCCCUGAGCGCGUCUCAACAUUUUGUUGGUCCUCAGAUCCAGAUUUCUUUUUUUCUUCCAGUUUCUCCAAGGUUAAAUCUGAGGAAGGGAACCAGCAGCUCAUACUAGUUCAUCACUUUAUCAUCUCGUGUGCGCCGCACUUGUCACCUGUGAGCCGAGGCUGGGUCGCUAUUAAUCUGCUGUAAUCCCACAAGAGGCCACGUGAGGGCGUAUUUCCCGGCUUUGGCCAGAGGCUACCUGCCGUUGGUGUCUAUGCUUGGUUUCCUGGACUGCUUCACAAGGGUGGAUCCAAAUCCCCAUCAGGCCUGAAGAAAGGCCUGGGGUUAAGAAUUUCCUGAGGAAAAAGUUCCUCCACCCGGAGCCCAAGCCCUAAGGGACAAGUUUCCUAGGUGCGCCUGGGUGUAUCAACCAGCUUUUUUUCCUGCCAUGUUCCUCCACCGAGGAUGUAGCUGUUCCAGGGACCAGGUUCGAUGCCUCUGCUUCUCUUCACACGGGCUGGCCCAAGCCCAGCAGCUGUUAAAAGUACAAGGCCCGGGGAGUUCCCUUUGUGGCUCAGCCGUUAAGGAACCGGACUAGUAUCCAUGAGGAUGAGGGUUCGAUCCCUGGCCUUGCUCAGUGGGUUAAGGUUCUGGCACUGCCGUGAGCUGUGGUUGUAGGUGGCAGACAUGGCUUGGAUCCUGCGUGGCUGUGGCCAGCAGCUACAGCUCUGAUCAGACCCCUAGCUUGGGAACUGCCAUGGGUUUAGCCCUAAAAAGCAAAAAAAAAAAAAAAAA